UAGGGAAUCUUCCACAAUGGACGCAAGUCUGAUGGAGCAACGCCGCGUGAGUGAAGAAGGUUUUCGGACCGUAAAGCUCUGUUGUUGGUGAAGAAGGAUAGAGGUAGUAACUGGCCUUUAUUUGACGGUAAUCAACCAGAAAGUCACGGCUAACUACGUGCCAGCAGCCACGGUAAUACGUAGGUGGCAAGCGUUGUCCGGAUUUAUUGGGCGUAAAGCGAGCGCAGGCGGAAGAAUAAGUCUGAUGUGAAAGCCCUCGGCUUAACCGAGGAAUUGCAUCGGAAACUGUUUUCUUGAGUGCAGAAGAGGAGAGUAGAACUCCAUGUGUGGCGGUGGAAUGCGUAGAUAUAUGGAAGAAUACCAGUGGCGAAGGCGGCUCUCUGGUCUGCAACUGACGCUGAGGCUCGAAAGCAUGGGUAGCGAACAGGAUUA
rnacentral:rRNA from 1 species